rnacentral:rRNA from 1 species
UGGGGAAUAUUGGACAAUGGGCGAAAGCCUGAUCCAGCCAUGCCGCGUGUGUGAAGAAGGCCUUUUGGUUGUAAAGCACUUUAAGCGAGGAGGAGGCUACUAGUACUAAUACUACCAGCUACUGGACGUUACUCGCAGAAUAAGCACCGGCUAACUCUGUGCCAGCAGCCGCGGUAAUACAGAGGGUGCGAGCGUUAAUCGGAUUUACUGGGCGUAAAGCGUGCGUAGGCGGCUAAUUGAGUCGGAUGUGAAAUCCCCGAGCUUAACUUGGGAAUUGCAUUCGAUACUGGUUAGCUAGAGUGUGGGAGAGGAUGGUAGAAUUCCAGGUGUAGCGGUGAAAUGCGUAGAGAUCUGGAGGAAUACCGAUGGCGAAGGCAGCCAUCUGGCCUAACACUGACGCUGAGGUACGAAAGCAUGGGGAGCAAACAGG